rnacentral:rRNA from 1 species
UACGUAGGUGGCAAGCGUUGUCCGGAUUUACUGGGUGUAAAGGGCGUGUAGCCGGGCUGACAAGUCAGAUGUGAAAUCCGGGGGCUCAACCCCCGAACUGCAUUUGAAACUGUUGGUCUUGAGUAUCGGAGAGGCAGGCGGAAUUCCUAGUGUAGCGGUGAAAUGCGUGGAUAUUAGGAGGAACACCAGUGGCGAAGGCGGCCUGCUGGACGACAACUGACGGUGAGGCGCGAAAGCGUGGGGAGCAAACAGG